UAAGAGGUCCCGCCUGCCCUGUGACAUUAAGUUUAACGGCCGCGGUAUUUUGACCGUGCAAAGGUAGCGAAAUCACUUGUCUCUUAAAUAGGGACCUGUAUGAAUGGCAUAACGAGGGCUUAACUGUCUCCUUUUUCAGGUCAAUGAACUUGAUCCCCCCGUGCAGAAGCGGGGAUACGCACAUAAGACGAGAAGACCCUAUGGAGCUUUAGACACAAAGGCAGACCCUGUACAGCAUCCCUUAUAAAGGAACGAAACCGGGAGUUCAGCUGCCCAAUGUCUUUGGUUGGGGCGACCGCGGAAGACAACAUAACCUCCGCGUGGAAUGGGAGCACCCUCCCAGAACCAAGAGCUACAGCUCUAAGUAACAGAACUUUUGACCAUGAAGAUCCGGCAAAGCCGAUCAACGAACCGAGUUACCCUAGGGAUAACAGCGCAAUCCUCUUACAGAGCCCUUAUCGACAAGGGGGUUUACGACCUCGAUGUUGGAUCAGGACAUCCUAAUGGUGCAGCCGCUAUUAAAGGUUCGUUUGUUCAACG
rnacentral:rRNA from 1 species